GACGAACGCUGGCGGCGUGCCUAAUACAUGCAAGUUGAGCGCUGAAGGUUGGUACUUAUACCGACUGGAUGAGCAGCGAACGGGUGAGUAACGCGUGGGGAAUCUGCCUUUGAGCGGGGGACAACAUUUGGAAACGAAUGCUAAUACCGCAUAAAAACUUUAAACACAAGUUUUAAGUUUGAAAGAUGCAAUUGCAUCACUCAAAGAUGAUCCCGCGUUGUAUUAGCUAGUUGGUGAGGUAAAGGCUCACCAAGGCGAUGAUACAUAGCCGACCUGAGAGGGUGAUCGGCCACAUUGGGACUGAGACACGGCCCAAACUCCUACGGGAGGCAGCAGUAGGGAAUCUUCGGCAAUGGACGAAAGUCUGACCGAGCAACGCCGCGUGAGUGAAGAAGGUUUUCGGAUCGUAAAACUCUGUUGGUAGAGAAGAACGUUGGUGAGAGUGGAAAGCUCAUCAAGUGACGGUAACUACCCAGAAAGGGACGGCUAACUACGUGCCAGCCGCCGCCGUAAAAC
rnacentral:rRNA from 1 species